rnacentral:rRNA from 1 species
AUUGAUCGCUGGCGGCAGGCCUAACACAUGCAAGUCGAGCGAGCGGCGGACGGGUGCGUAAUGUGUGGUGAUCUGCCCGAUAGAGGGGGAUAACUACUGGAAACGGUGGCUAAUACCGCAUACUAUCGGAUGAACCCAUUUGGGAUUAGCUAGUAGGUGGGGUAAAGGCUCACCUAGGCGACGAUCUCUAGCUGGUCUGAGAGGAUGAUCAGUCAACCUGGGACUGAGACACGGCCCAGACUCCUACGUGAGGCAGCAGUGGGUAAUAUUGCACAAUGGGUGCAAGCCUGAUGCAGCCAGUCCGCGUGUAUGCCGAAGGCCUUAGGGCUGUAAAGUUCUUUCAGCGGGGAGGCGUUACCCGCAGAAGAAGCACAGGCUAACUCCGUGCUAGCAGCCGCGGUAAUUC